rnacentral:rRNA from 1 species
GACGAACGCUGGCGGCGUGCUUAACGCAUGCAAGUCGAACGGAAAGGCCCCUUUGGGGGUACUCGAGUGGCGAACGGGUGAGUAACACGUGAGUAACCUGCCCUUGACUUCGGGAUAACUUCAGGAAACUGGGGCUAAUACCGGAUAGGAAUCCUUGCUGCAUGGUGGGGGUUGGAAAGCUUCGGCGGUUUUGGAUGGACUCGCGGCUUAUCAGCUUGUUGGUGGGGUAGUGGCUUACCAAGGCUUUGACGGGUAGCCGGCCUGAGAGGGCGACCGGCCACAUUGGGACUGAGAGACGGCCCAGACUCCUACGGGAGGCAGCAGGGGGGAAUAUUGCACAAUGGGCGGAAGCCUGAUGCAGCAACGCCGCGGGCGGGAGGACGGCCUUCGGGUUGGAAACCGCUUUCAGCAGGGGCGAAGCUUGUGGUGACGGUACCUGCAGAAGAAGCACCGGCUAACUACGUG